rnacentral:rRNA from 1 species
CUGGCGGCGUGCCUACACAUGCAAGUCGAACGAGAAAGUGGAGCAAUCCAUGAGUAAAGUGGCGACCGGGUGAGUAACACGUGACUAACCUACCUCCGAGUGGGGAAUAACUCCGGGAAACCGGGGCUAAUACCGCAUAACAUCGCAAGAUCAAAGCAGCAAUGCGCUUGGAGAGGGGGUCGCGGCUGAUUAGCUUGUUGGCGGGGUAACGGCCCACCAAGGCGAAGAUCGGUAUCCGGCCUGAGAGGGCGCACGGACACACUGGAACUGAAACACGGUCCAGACUCCUACGGGAGGCAGCAGUGGGGAAUUUUGCGCAAUGGGGGAAACCCUGACGCAGCAACGCCGCGUGGAGGAUGAAGCCCUUUGGGGCGUAAACUCCUUUCGACUCGGAAGAUAAUGACGGUACGAGUGGAAGAAGCACCGGCUAACUCUGUGCCAGCAGCCGCGGUAAUACAGAGGGUGCGAGCGUUGUUCGGAAUUAUUGGGC